rnacentral:misc_RNA from 1 species
GUAUACAGGAAUGAGGUUGCCCCUGGGAAAAUGAAAUUGUAAAUUACAGAAUGAAAUUUAAUUUUGUGCACUAAUUAAAGAAACUCAUAAUUGACAAUUAUGAUGCAAAAGAGUAUAAUUGCACGGAAUAAACACAAAAGGAUCGAAGGUACAGUAAUAUGUGUUAUGUUCCUGUCAACAAAAACAAAAAGAGAAGUGCAUAAUCUGCAGCAACAUCUGCAGAUUAUGCAAUGGAAAUUACAUCAAAAUGCAUAAACACAUUCUAGGGAUUAAACCACACUUAGAAAUGCCAUAAUACUCCUUCCAGUUCCAAUUUAAUUGUUAGAAUUUCAUAGCUCAUAGGAAAUUGAUGAUGAAAGGUUCUUCUCCUUUCUUCUCAUGCUAUUAAAAUAAGAAGAAUUUCAACUAUUCUUUUUGGUUUCCAAUCUUACCUGAGGAAAAUAGUCUCUUCCAUUGAAGGAAAAGGCCUGUUUGCACAUAAUUUGCAUAGAAAAUUUCAGAGGGAAGAUAAAAGUAAUAGAUACUGACUUAGAUCCAGUUGCAGGCAAACAGAAUAUCAAAGGUAUGGAACUUUCACAUAAAGAAAAUUAUUUUGGGAUGUGGGGUGGGCCAAAGAAACAAACAAAACAAUACAAAGAGAGAAAAAAAAUGGAAAUUUGAUCUGAAAAUCUCAAAUAGCGAAAAAUUUAUGAUAAGGGAAUAGCUUCCUAAGCAAAAACAGAUACAACAAAAUCAAAGAAGAUAUAGAACAAGUAAUUUAUUUUGCAUAUAAUUGAUAGUUUUAUUAAUUAUUUAUUUGUGUUAUAUUUUU